rnacentral:misc_RNA from 1 species
AACCUAGCACACCUGCGGUGUGUACCUGCGGAGGGAUCAUUACUGAGUGUAAAAACUCCCAAACCCAUUGUGAACAUACCACUGUUGCUUCGGCGGAUACGCCCCGGGCGCGCUCUUCACAGGGCGUGCCCCGGAACCAGGCGCCCGCCGGGGGACCGAAACUCUUGUUUUCUUAGGAUCUCUGAGUGUGAUUAUUAAAUAAAUCAAAACUUUCAGCAACGGAUCUCAGAUCGGAAGAGC